rnacentral:lncRNA from 1 species
CAACAAAGGGCAAGCACCGAAACCAAUUCACUGUACAACACCUUGAGAACACCCCCAAACUAAACUACACUACAAAGCACCUGAAACUGCGGACAACAGAACACCUAGAGCAAACAACACCCAAAGCAAGAGAUCUAAAAAAAACUAAAACAGGAUUCUUAGGUCAGAGAUCUAGAACAAUAAACCGAGUGUCGUUAGCCCAAACAAGGCUACUAAAAACUCGACAUAGUUUUCCGUUAAUCCUCCUUCAAGAGCUUAAUGCAUCAUUGCAUCUAUCCAUGGGGUCUUUAUUUAUCGGCAAGCAACUUUCAAUACACCUUCAGCAAACAAUGAAUCUCCUUUUUCUAUACAAAAUCCAUCACAUGUGAAACAUUCCCUGUUACACAUAAUAUGAUGUGAGAUUUUGGCAUUGUUACACAUAUUCUCAGCAGCAGCAUGUUGUCAGUUUAUAUCAAUGCUGGGUUACCUAGCAUAUGUUCUCUUUCUAUCAUCUUAAAGCAUUAUUUUUUAAAUCCUUAAUUCUUAAAAUCUACCUAAUCAAUUGGCAUGAAUUGUGACUCAUAAAACUGAUUCCGGUGUGUGUAAUAAGAUAAAAUUUAAGGUUAUAAAACUCUGGAAUGUGGCAUAAAAUUUAUAACACGAUAAUUACUUGCUCAUGAAUGUUGGGUUACCGAUUUAUAUCGGCACUCCAUAAAUAUGUUCUCCUUCUGAUAUCUUUAGGCUAAGUAAAUUCUGGAUACGAAUAUAUGGAAGCAAAUUUGUAACAGGAAAAUUAAUCACAUGAAAGAGGAAAUUGUUAACUGCCAAGUUGCACUAUAUAUACAAAUUAUACAGUGGCUUGAGGCAUUUCUGCACUAAAAAUACUGAUAGCAAACAAAGCAGAAUACUGAAAACAUUAUCCAUAUACGUCUUGUAUAACAGGGCACCAAGCCAUAGUAAAGCUCAAGUUUUGGAUCUAGCUAACCAACCAUCUAUUAUUAUCUAACUUGUACAGUUCACACACAUUUUGGGCACAUGGAGCAUCAGUUUUCCUCCUAAUCCUAAUAAGGAUAUGGACUUGGCCUACCACAGAAAGCAAAAGUGUGGGCUGCGUACUAAUCUUAAUACAUAUUAAAAAAAUCUAAUUGACAGGCAACAUUUAAGUGUUUUAUUAGUUUAGUAAUUGUUUACAUAGCAAAUGACGACCACGAAGCACUGAAAUAAGAACUCAAAUACAUUUCAACUCUAUUCUCAUCAUAUAAGACAAUGUACGCUGCCAGUGAAUGGAUAAGAUAAUCACUCACCUUGAUGGUCCCUCCUGUUGCUUGUGUAAAAUUUUACAGACCAUUAGAUAUACCAGAUUCUGAAGGCUGUCUUAAUUCAAUUCGGCAGCAUCCUCUCCCAAGCAGCAAAAAAAACCUAUAAAUGUUCUCUUUUUUUUUCAGUGAACAAAGUGACACCUGGGACAAUCUCAAUAGAGUUUGAACAUUAGUGCAAUGAUCUAUUACUCCCCUUUACAUGAAUAUACUUACUAAAGGGUAGCUAGCAGAGUAUACAUGUGAAAACCAUUCAAACACUUCAAAGUACUCUACUUUCCUCUAGCUGAAUUAUAACCAAUACCUGAUGUUGUAGUGACACAGACAUAGUCCACAAUUAAAUCCAAAACCAAUUUCAGUACAGCAAAAGAAUGAGAUAAUAAUCAAGCCCAAACCAUGUCUCAAAAUAAACCAGAUUGCAAAUAUUGAAAAAAAUGCAGUCUUUCUACUAAGCUGACUAUGUUAUCGUGCGCGUGCAAGGCACGUUUUGGCAAUAUAAUUAACAAAUGAAGAAAAAUCUACGGGAUCUUUUUUAAUGCAAUGCACUCCAUGAAAACAGAAGGACUCAGCCACAAGAUCAUUAACAUGGCAGUAAUAAAAGUAAAAGCAUUGAGACAACUAAGGAGGUUCUAAAAGGCAGCAAGUUUCAAACAAUAGGACAUCAAGUGAGAAAUGCAUAUGUAACGGUUUGGAACAUGGGCACAGGAAGUGAGGAACUCACAGCAUCAGGCAUGGACUUGAACUUGUCACCACCAAAUCAACCAAAUCAGAACACACAUUGUAGCAGGCAACGCAGCAGAGGAACACAAACACGUCACCAAGAUACCUGCUUGACGUUGGGGUGCUCCUUGCAGUCCUUCCCUGCUGAAACAAACACGUCACACCAAAUCGAUCAGAACGCCAAAUCGAUCAGAACGCACACCCAAGCCACCUUGAAUGGAGAACCAGCAGCACAAACUCUCCUUCCUCUCCGUCGCGGCGCGAGCAGGGAAGCAGGCGGUUUGGGCAGGAGGCGGCGGCGGUGGGCGCAGCGGCUCAGGCGGGAGGAGGCGGCGGCGAGUGCAGCCGCGCGCGAGCGGAGUGGCGCCGGCGGGCGCGCAGUAGGCGAGCGGUGGGCGCGUAGAAGGCGGCGGCAGGCGGCGCCGCGCAGGAGGAUAGCUUUUCUUUUUUUUUUUUUCUUUUUCGGCGUUAGUGGAUUCUUUUCUUUUUAUUUUCGCUAACCG